rnacentral:rRNA from 1 species
UCCUACGGGAGGCAGCAGCGAGGAAUCUUGCGCAAUGGGCGAAAGCCUGACGCAGCAACGCCGCGUGGGUGAUGAAGGCCUUCGGGUUGUAAAUCCCUUUUGCCGGGGAAGAACUUUGACGGUACCCGGCGAAUAAGCCACGGCUAACUACGUGCCAGCAGCCGCGGUAAGACGUAGGUGGCAAGCGUUAUCCGGAUUUACUGGGCGUAAAGCGUACGUAGGCGGCGCCGAAAGUCUGCCGUGAAAUCUCCCGGCUCAACCGGGAGCGGCCGGUGGAAACUUCGAUGCUCGAGGGGCGUAGAGGCAAGCGGAAUUCCCGGAGUAGUGGUGGAAUGCGUAGAUACCGGGAGGAACACCAGUGGCGCAAGCGGCUUGCCAGGCGCAUCCUGACGCUGAGGUACGAAAGCGUGGGUAGCGAACCGGAUUAGAUACCCGGGUAGUCCACGCCGUAAACGAUGGAUGCUAGUCGUGGGGGGUAUCGACCCCCUCUGUGACGCAACCUAACGCAAUAAGCAUCCCGCCUGGGGAGUACGGCCGCAAGGCUAAAACUCAAAGGAAUUGACGGGGA